rnacentral:tRNA from 1 species
GUUCUCUUAGUUCGGUUCGAUAGAAGGUGGGUUUCCAAAACCCGAUGUCGUAGGUUCAUAUCCUACAUAGAGUG